rnacentral:ncRNA from 1 species
UGAAGUCUCUCUCAGGAUAGCUGGAGUACGUAAUGAAACUGUUAUAUUCGGUACAGAAAUGAAGAAUUGUGAGACGUUCAAACUUUCGAUGAGUAUGGCGUCUCGCUCGCUUGAAUGAAGCAUAGACAUUGAAUGUGUGCUCCAAGUGGGCCAUUUUUGGUAAGCAGAACUGGUGCUGUUUCCACUCAAACGCCAUCCAUUUCAAGGCUAGUUGAAGAAAUGCACUACAAUGGAUGAAAAA